rnacentral:lncRNA from 1 species
AACAAUCCCUCACUCUAAAAAGGGGUCCAGAAUAUAAUAUCAGUCGAACAAAAUUCUCUAAAGAGUUCCUUGAUCUUUUCUGAAGUUUCAGAUUCAACAAAUAGUUUUGAAAAUCUCAUAAACCUUUUAUUUUACAGGUCAGAAACAUGGUUUGAAAGAGGAAGUUUCCUUAGUUUUUUAUAGCUAAAUUCUGGGUUUUUCUAGCUUUGGAUUCUGGUUUUGAAGAUUAAUUCUUGGUUGUUGAAGGCUGAACAUUGGUUCUCUGAUUUGGCUGUGUGUGGCUGCUUGCUAUUGCUCAUUAUUUUAGAAGAAUCAGUUGAUUUAUUGACCUUUAUUUGGUCUUAUUUAAAUUAUCUCCAGGUAUGUAACCAAAUUCUGGCUACGAAUAUGUGUUAUCAGCAGGAAUUAAUGUGUGAGUUCAUUAUUCUUCAUAUGUUCUUUUUAUGUGUUCCUGUUUGCAUCUGAGCAUGGAAAAAGGUUGUGAAAGUAACAUUAAUAUUUGUAUUUGUGACAAUAUUUAAGCUAGUUUAUGAUGCUUUCUUGCAAUCCUUCAUCUGAUUUCAAAAUACUGCCUCUUAUUUGUCUUGUAACUAUUUGUUCACAAGUUGUGGCCUGAUGGUUCAGUUACCAAUUGGCUGGACCACCAUAAUUUUCCCUUCAUCAGAUUUCUCCUACUCUCAUAAGUCUUUUGACUGUUAGAAUAUGAGCAGUAACAUAUUGGUUUAAUCACCAGUUGGUUAAACCAACUGGUACUGAAAAUACAAAGUAAGUUAAAAUACUGAAAUGUUAAGUUUCUAAGUUAAAGUUUUCUACUGCUUUUGUGUGCUCAAACUUUCAAAUAAAGUUGAUCUCAUUAACCAUCUUGUGUGCUAAAAGUUCCAACUCAGGCUGGUUAAGGUUGGAUGGAGGAACCUGUUGAAUUUGACCUCUUUUCAUGGUCGGAUUCACAGCUCAAGCUGACCAUUUCUUCCUCUUCUACUUUCAGUAUAGUCUACCAUAAACAUGAGGAUUAAAACCUCAUUAGGUGAUUGAGUUUAAUCCUAUGACAUGAUUAAAUUCAUGAAUCAGGCUAUCCAUUGCAUUGAAUUAUUGUAUUCUUUUCUUUAGAAAAUUCUGCUUCAAAAAUAGCCUUGUUAGUCAGUUCCCUUUCCCCCGUUUGUCUUGUUGCAAUAUUUUCCAUGACAUUUAAAUAUAUUUGCAAAAAAAUUGAGUCAAUGCUUAUGGACUUGGUCACCAGUUGACCAAAUCAGUAGGUAUACGGGUUCUAGAACCCAACGCUCAUUGUGCAGGCAUAAUGAUAUGCAAUGCUAUUCAUGUAUGGAGCACAACUUUGAUGGAUAAACAAUAUUAAAAAAGGAGCAGUG